AUUGAACGCUGGCGGCAGGCCUAACACAUGCAAGUCGAGCGCGCGUCGGACGGGUGAGUAAUGUAUGGGGACUGCCCGAUAGAGGGGGAUAACUCCUGGGAACGGUGGCUAAUACCCCAUACGAUCGGAUAACCCAUAUGGGAUUAGCUAGUAGGUGGGGUAAAGGCUCACCUAGGCGACGAUCCCUAGCUGGUCUGAGAGGAUGAUCAGCCACACUGGAACUGAGACACGGCCCAGACUCCUACGGAGGCAGCAGUGGGGAAUAUUGCACAAUGGGCGCAAGCCUGAUGCAGCCAUGCCGCGUGUAUGAAGAAGGCCUUAGGGUUGUAAAGUACUUUCAGUCGGGAGGCGUUACCGGCAGAAGAAGCACCGGCUAACUCCGUGCCAGCAGCCGCGGUAAUUC
rnacentral:rRNA from 1 species